rnacentral:lncRNA from 1 species
CUGAGCUUCUGAAGAGAGAAAAAUAAUGAAGGCCUAAACUAAAAAGUGGGAAUAGAGGAGAGAGACUGCACUUGAGACACGAGUAGAAUUGUCAUAUGAUCGAAUAUAGAAGAGGCCAAUGAAGGAAGAAGAUGCUGAUGUGGGUGUCCAGAUGGGUGGUGGUACCAUUGACUACAAGGUAAAACCAGUUUGGGUGAAAGGAGACUGCACUAGGGAGAUAGUCCAUUCUGCAUUAGACAUCUUGGGAUUGAAGUAUCUUGGUAAUAAGUGGAGACAGCUAAUCUGCAGUUGCAAGUAUAGAGCUAUGAGUGAAGGCAAAGCAGAAGACAGGUUUGGAAUAGCAUGGAUGCCUUCAUCUUCAGGAAGAUGUAUAGAGUAAGAAGACAAAUUUUAAGAACAAUUUAAGAGGUCAAGAGGCAGAGAAAGGCAAAGGAGUCUCUGCUGAAAACAGAGAAACAAGGUAACAGGGUGAAAGAGGACAGUUAGGGGAUGAGCGCACGGCAAGUUAGGAAAGAGGGAGGGGUGGCAGGAAGCUUGGAAAGAGAGACUUGGUUAGCAGUAAGACUCCAAAAGGUUCAAGAAAGAUAAUGAUUCAUUUUAUUAAGGGAUUAAAACAUGCCAGGGACCAUUUUUAGCAGCUGGCACGGCUUGAUGCAUUCCAUUCUCACAACACCCUUGUGAAGUAGAGAUUAUUAUUAUUAUUCCUACUUUAUAGAUGAGAAAAUUAAGCAGAGAGAGGUGAACUUGCUGCCCAGGGUUACACAGGAAAACAAGCAACAGAAGCAAGAUUUAAAGUUCAGCCAUCCUGCUCCAAAGCCCACGUUUGCACAGAUGGAGGAGGAGGGCACUUUAUGGCUAGCUCCAUGAGGCCAGUUUCGAUACAGUGGCAGCUUUGUGGCCUGGGGAGGUGAAAGGAAGGUGAGACAGUGGAGAGUGCAAAUGUAGACAGACUGCUGUUUGCAAGCCGCUUAGCUAGGAAGAGGGUUGGAGUAAUAGCUGGAAGGGAGCACAAGAGUGGCAGAAGCUGUUCCGUGCUUAAUGAGCAAGUCUGGAGCAUGUGGACUUGAUAGAUUCUGUUUACAUCACACUCUAGAAUUGCUAGAAGAAAAAUGAGGGGGUUGGAUGAAAAGACGUGCAGGUUACUUCCAGCUCUGAUUCUACGAUUCCACAACUUUGAAAUUCUCCCUCAGUGCAGCCAGAUGGAAGAUUUCACUCAAUAAAAUUAGUUGGAAAAAUAAUUUCAUACACUUCUAAAGAGGGAUCUAAAUAGAAACCCAAGUGUCUAUUUAUUCUUGUUUCCUUAUACGUCAUGAGCUUUUAAUAUUUUUCCUCAUCCUGGUCUGUGUGACACUUCUUGUCCUCACAAGAGAGCCCUGAAGUUUUUGCUGUCUUUGGAUUUGGCCUGUUGAUAUAUUUUUUGCUUUCUUUUCAAAGCUUAGGAAAAAAGGAGUCAAGGUCAUCUGGAUUCAUAUUCUUUUCCUCCAUUGCCUUUCAUUUUUGUGAUGUGCCCUUCCUUCCACAGGAAAAAAUUAAAGUCCAGGAAGUUAUAAGAAAGCCAUAU